rnacentral:miRNA from 1 species
GGCCGAUUCCGUCAUAAACCG